UACGAAGGGGGCUAGCGUUGUUCGGAAUUACUGGGCGUAAAGCGCGCGCAGGCGGCUAUCCAAGUCAGUGGUGAAAGCCCGGAGCUCAACUCCGGAACUGCCAUUGAAACUGUUUAGCUUGAGGAUGAGAGAGGUGAGUGGAAUUCCCAGUGUAGAGGUGAAAUUCGUAGAUAUCAAGCGGAACACCGGUGGCGAAGGCGGCCUUCUGGACAGUGACUGACGCUGAGACGCGAAAGCGUGGGGAGCAAACAGG
rnacentral:rRNA from 1 species